UACGGGGGGAGCAAGCGUUGUUCGGAUUUACUGGGCGUAAAGGGCGCGUAGGCGGCCAGCACAAGUCAGUUGUGAAAUCUCCGAGCUUAACUCGGAACGGUCAACUGAUACUGUGCGGCUAGAGUGCGGAAGGGGCAACUGGAAUUCUUGGUGUAGCGGUGAAAUGCGUAGAUAUCAAGAGGAACACCUGCGGCGAAGGCGGGUUGCUGGGCCGACACUGACGCUGAUGCGCGAAAGCCAGGGGAGCAAACGGG
rnacentral:rRNA from 1 species